AGUGAACGCUGGCGGUAGGCCUAACACAUGCAAGUCGAACGGCAGCACAGUAAGAGCUUGCUCUUACGGGUGGCGAGUGGCGGACGGGUGAGGAAUACAUCGGAAUCUACUUUUUCGUGGGGGAUAACGUAGGGAAACUUACGCUCAUACCGCAUACGACCUACGGUUGAAAGCAGGGGAUCUUCGGACCUUGCGCGAUUGAAUGAGCCGAUGUCGGAUUAGCUAGUUGGCGGGGUAAAGGCCCACCAAGGCGACGAUCCGUAGCUGGUCUGAGAGGAUGAUCAGCCACACUGGAACUGAGACACGGUCCAGACUCCUACGGGAGGCAGCAGUGGGGAAUAUUGGACAAUGGGCGCAAGCCUGAUCCAGCCAUACCGCGUGGGUGAAGAAGGCCUUCGGGUUGUAAAGCCCUUUUGUUGGGAAAGAAAAGCAGCAGGUUAAUACCCCGCUGUUCUGACGGUACCCAAAGAAUAAGCACCGGCUAACUUCGUG
rnacentral:rRNA from 1 species